GUGCUCACUUUGGCAGCACAUAUACAAAAAUUGUGAUGAUAGAAGAUAAGUAAGUCCCCUGCAUGAGCAAAUUUGUGAAGCAUUCCAUGUUUUU
ensembl:snRNA U6 U6 spliceosomal RNA